UGGAGGACGUGGUCUGUAUCAGACUAUUAAGGUGGACUGGAGGAGUUGUAACAAACAGUUGUUGGCAUGCUAACCUGUACAACAGGUCAAUUCAACUGGUUGAAUACAUAUUGAACUCUAUGAAUAACUUUUACAUGAGUUGGGGUCAUUUACCUUCUAGUUCCCUCACUUUAUUACCUGCUGCUUUUGUCCUUUUGUAGUUAUCAAGAAGUCCAUUCCAUUUCAAUUCAUCAUUCAAAGUCUAGAUAUAAAGUGAUAAGAGAAACCAGAGAGAUAGUAAGAGAGAACAAAGAGACAACAAAGAGAUAGAAAGAGAGAUAGUAAGAGAGAACAAAGAGACAACAAAGAGAUAGAAAGAGAGAUAGUAAGAGAGAACAGAGAGAGUUAGCGAGAGAGAGAAAAUAGAGAGAUACAAAGAGAGAUACAAAGAGAAAUACAAAGAGAAAUACAAAGAGAGAACAGAGAGAGUUAGCGAGAGAGAGAAAAUAGAGAGAUAGCCCAGCCAACCAGAGCCAUCUACCUCUAGUAGCCCAGCCAACCAGAGCCAUCUACCUCUAGUAGCCCAGCCAACCAGAGCCAUCUACCUCUAGUAGCCCAGCCAACCAGAGCCAUCUACCACUAGUAGCCCAGCCAACCAGACCCAUCUACCUCUAGUAGCCCAGCCAACCAGAGCCAUCUACCACUAGUAGCCCAGCCAACCAGACCCAUCUACCUCUAGUAGCCCAGCCAACCAGAGCCAUCUACCUCUAGUAGCCCAGCCAACCAGAGCCAUCUACCUCUAGUAGCCCAGCCAACCAGAGCCAUCUACCUCUAGUAGCCCAGCCAACCAGAGCCAUCUACCUCUAGUCUCCCAGCCAACCAGACCCAUCUACCUCUAGUAACCCAGCCAACCAGACCCAUCUACCUCUAGUAGCCCAGCCAACCAGACCCAUCUACCUCUAGUAGCCCAGCCAACCAGACCCAUCUACCUCUAGUAGCCCAGCCAACCUACAUCAGACCAGUAUUCUGCAGCAGGCCCUACCGUACUACCCACCUACAUCAGACCAGUAUUCUGCAGCAGGCCCUACCGUACUACCCACCUACAUCAGACCAGUAUUCUGCAG
rnacentral:lncRNA from 1 species